rnacentral:misc_RNA from 1 species
AACGCACAUUGCACUCCUUGGUAUUCCGAGGAGUAUGCCUGUUUCAGUAUCAUGAGCACUCUCACAACUAACCUUUGGGUGAAAUUGUGGAAUUGGAAUGCGCUGAUUUUAAUGAUCAGCCCUUCUAAAAUAUAUUUCAUGACUGUCACCUAACACAGCAGUUUGGCCUAAUAGUUUUGACAUUGAUUUGUCAAAUCUUUGGCUUACAUUUGCUUCAGGUUGUCAGUCUUGAUAAUACAGAAAACUCAUUCAAAUUUUGAUCUGAAAUCAGGUAGGGCUACCCGCUGAACUUAA